rnacentral:rRNA from 1 species
AUGCCGAGUAGCAGCGACAUCAUUCAUGCUUCAGGCGAUGUAUCUUCAUCUGAUUCCGACAACCCUAGGUCUUCAGCAGAUGAUGAAGGAUCAAGUAAUCUGGAAUUGGAUAGAGCUGCAGAAAUUACCCUUCCGUUCAGGACACGGAGGAACGCUCCAAGAAAACCCACACACCAGCCUAAAGGUAUAUAUGAAGUAACCGGCAUCGAUUUAAAGUCUUGGGCUCCAACUACCAUUGUUGGCAGGGCAAGACUCAACAUGCAGGGGUUUCGGAAGGCUGACACAAAAACACGACAAAGGAUAGUCCGGGAGAUCAUGAAUCACUUCAAACGUUCCAAAGCAGUGGAGAAGGCAGGUGGAACACGUUGCACUGAAUAA